rnacentral:rRNA from 1 species
UUCUUGAAAAUUAAGGAAGUUGGCGGUAUUUUAGUCUAUUUAGAGGAACCUGUCCUGUAAUUGAUAGUCCACAAUGAUAAUUACUUAAUUUUUAAAUUUACAUAUCGUUGUAGGUUAAGUAUUUUAUUAGGAUAAGAAUAUUUAAUAUUUUUAUUGAAAAAAAAUCAGAUCAAGGUGUAGUUUAUAAUUAAGUAGAGAUGGGUUACAAUAAAUGAAUUUAAAUGGAUAAGAUUUUUUAAAUAUCUUUAAAAGUGGAUUUAAAAGUAAUUUUAUAUAUUUAUUUAAAAUGAUUUAAGUUCUAAAAUAUGUACAUAUUGCCCGUCGCUUUUACUUUAAAGUAAAAUAAGUCGUAACAAAGUAGAAGUACUGGAAAGUGUUUCUAGAAAGACAAAUUAAAGCUUUAUGAAGCCUUUUAGUUACAUUAAAAAGAUUAUUUAUUAUAAAUAUAAUUUGAAAGUAGUGGCUUAUUUAAAGAUAAAUUAAAUAUUGGGUUAAAAAAAGAAAUUUUAAUUUUAUUAAUUUAUGUGAAUAAAUUAUUUAUAUAAUUAAAGGAAAUUAGUAUUGAAAAAGAAAUUUUUUAUUUCAUAAUAAGAAUAAUUGAUUUUUGGUACCUUUUGUAUCAGGGUUUGUUAAAUAAGUUUUGAUUAAUCAAAUUUCUCGAAUUUAAAAGAGCUAUUAUUAUAUAAAAUUUUAUUGUAGUAUAAAUAUUUAAAAUAUAAUAAUAGAAGUGAAAUGCUAUACGAUUUUAAAUAUAUCUAGUUUUUUAAGAAAAAAUUUUAAUUUUAUUUUUAUUUUAUUAAAAAUUUAAUUUAUUAAAUUUUUAAUAGUAAAAUUAUAUUUUUUUUGGGCUAAGCUAAAGGAAAUAUGUAUAUAAUUAUAAUAAGUUUUGUUUAAUAAAUAGGAUUAUAAGUUUUAAAUUUUAUAAAUGUGUAAAAACUAAUUAAAUAAAGAGAAAAAUUUAUAUUUGAUUUAUAUAUUUUAUUAAAAUAUAGUUUGUAAUUUUAAAAAAUUAGGAAAAAUGAUUAAAUUAGUAUAGGAAAUAAAAAUAAAUAUGUUUUUAUUUAAAUUUUAGGUUAAGCAAAGGAAUUCGGCAAAUAUAUUUUUCACCUGUUUAUUAAAAACAUGUCUUAUAGUAAAUAAUUAUAGGUUUUACCUGCUCAAUGAUAAAAUUAAAUAGCUGCAGUAAAUUGACUGUGCAAAGGUAGCAUAAUCAUUAGUUUUUUAAUUGAAAGCUGGAAUGAAGGGUUUGAUGAAAAAAUAUCUGUCUCUGUUUAAAUUAAUUUGAAUUUUAUUUUUAAGUAAAAAAGCUUAAAUUUAUAUUGAAGACGAGAAGACCCUAUAGAGUUUUAUAAUUUAGAAUUAAUAUUUAAUUUUAGAAUUUUA